rnacentral:lncRNA from 1 species
ACAAAAGUAACCUGAGCAGCCCCGGCGUAAAGUUACAAAGAAAGUGAACCUCAAAAGGAAAAAGGGCCUGCACUCAGAGCUCGGCGGAUUCCCGUGCGCUCUGGGCACGGAUCUUGGAAAGCUGCGAAAGUCACCAAAAAGAAGCAGGCAAGCAAACAAAAGUUGCCCCAAAAGAAGAGGGUACCCUCUGGGCUCUUUCCGAGUCCCACAGGGCAACGACGCGCGGGCAGCGGCUGCGGAGGCCCGGCGGAGGUUAACAAGGAGAGCUGGAGGAAAUGGAAUCCAAGAUGAAAGAAUGAAGAGGAAUAAAGGUUCGGCUUGCAAGGCACUGCCUGAAGUUGCAUACCAGCUGAGCUCCACAUUGAGGAACUUGAGGGGGAAUUAAUGAAAGUGAAGCGAUCAAGAAUGCUGAACAUAAAUCUCACCUACUACACUAUUUUGCUUGCACUCAGUUUGGCUUCCCAGGCUUCUCCAAUUUGUUCCUCAGACACUCUGGUCAAAUAAAUCAUUAUUCCACCAGUGAUGAUAACUGUUCCAAAAAGCAAACUAUCAGACGCCACCCAUUCAAUCCUCUAGCUCUGAAAUGUGCCAGAAUAUUCUUGGCCUGUGCUUGGAUGAAUAAAUGGAUGGGGAGAAUUAAGCACUGCUGACUAGAAAAUGAUUUUUUAAAUGCAGCCAAGGAGGCAUCAUUUUCUUUUUAUUCAGGAGGUCAUUCAAAGAAGACAGAAAGACAAGCAGAUUAUCUUUCUCCUAAAGGGAAUGCAGAAGUGGUGUUUUUAAAAGAGAGUCCUUUAAUGCUGUGUAAUAUACAAUGUAUUUAUUCUGGAUAUUAAUUUAAAAUAUUAGAUAUACACAACUGAGAUAUUUUCUGUCAUAGUUUAAAGUUUAUCUGGAUUAUAGCUUAAGAAUGCUAUGGAACAUCUAAAAAAUUUUUGAGUGAAACUUGUUAAAUUAAUUAUUUUGAGUAUUUCUUCUAAAUUAGAUUUGGUUAUUUCAUUUCCAAAUUAUAUAUUCACAAGAAUGUUUUUAGAGGUCUAAUUUAUGUAAUUCUAGCUUGGUUUUCUUUGGAAUAAGCUUUCAUGAAAUAUAUUCUCAGAUAUUAAAUUAUUAUUCUAUUAUUCUCACAUCACAUUUGUAUUUUAUACAGUCUUCUAGAGUAUAAAGUGAACACAAAUUAAGUUUCUGUAAUCUGUAAUUAUCUUUAUGUAAUUAAAAUAUUUUUAUCAUUAGUUUUAAAAACUCAGUAAGUCAAUCAAUCAGCUACAUUGCUUCAAUUGAAAAUAGGCAAUAAUAAUAAUAUUCAC